GCGAUCUUGGCUCACUGCAAGCUCUGACUUUCGGGUUCACGCCAUUCUCCUGCCUCAGCCUCCCGAGUAGCUGGGACUACAGGUGCCUGCCAGCACGCCCGGCUAAUUUUUUAUAUUUUUAGUAGAGACGGGGUUUCACCGUGUUAACCAGGAUGGUCUCAAUCUCCUGACCUCGUGAUCCGCCCGCCUCGGCCUCCCAAAGUGCUGGGAUUACAGGCCUGAGCGACCGCGCCCGGCCCUAUAUGUAGUUUUUUGAGAACCCUUCAUACUGCUUUCUAUAAUGGCUAUACUAAUUUACGUUCCCAUAAACAGUGUUCUUGACUGUUCUAUUUCUACCAUGUUGUUACAUCAGCAUUGGCUCUUGUCGUUGGUUUGUUUCCUUAGAAUUGCCAGGUAGAAACUGGAAAUUCUAAUUGACUCAAUUGUUUUUAUUUCAGUCAUAUAAUCUUCUGGCCAAGUCUUACAGCAAAGAAUUUUACAUUAAAAAGAAGGAAGAGAAAGCAAGCAAGCAAGCAAGAAGGGUGGUAAUGAGAAGCUGAGAGCAGUGUGCCAACUCGCAAUGCCAUCUUCGCUGACAUGUAAAAAUAGUUGUGUUUUAACAAGUGUGCUUUGCUUAAAUGAAAUAGGUGGAUUUCUAGAAAUGAAAUUGCUGCAGCAAAAGGACUGCAUAAUGUAAACACUCUUGAGACAGAUGACCAAUUUGUUUCCUGCAGUUUGUUCGCAUUUACACACUUCUAACAAUAUGGAGAUGUAUGUCUCACUGAAAUCAUGAUGACAACAGAGUUUUUUGCUUCUGUCUGCCAAUUUUUCCUUUGGGGCACUCAUCAUUUUGAUUACUUAAAUAUGCAUCUUAUGGUAGAAACUGGAACCACUGUCUUGAAUCAAAAGAUGGAAGAAGCUUCUCUUGAAGAUUAAAGGGACACAAGACAGAAGUUGUCUGUGUCCCUGAGGGCUUAGCAGAGGAGACUUGACCUACUUUCUUGGGCUUGUUGUGACAUCUAUUUUGUUUAAGUGGGAGAGACAAAGACAAGAUAACAAGCAAAUUAAUAAUUGCAUCUUUGGUAACUUUUCUGAAGAAAAUAAACAUUAGACUCGGUCAGAGAAUAAUGGUGAAAAGGUUGCCCUGGAAAAAGUGAUAAGGAACAGCCUUUUUGGGAUGGUGAAUAUGAAGAGUAUGAAUUACAAUGUUCCUGAAAAGCCACUUUCCUGAGAAGAACUGCAACAGAUUUUCAUGAUAUCAAGAAGGCUUUAUGUUCCUGUAAGAAAGUUUGGCUGUAAGUUCCUAUCAAGAUUCUACAAGAUUGUGUGACUGCAAAAAUACCCUUUGAAGUAGUUGGUCCAGAAACACUGAAGGUUUGUAUAGAAGAGACAGACCUUCCACCCUGUCUCUUCUAUCACACAGCAAUGACUGAUAAACUGGAAAAUUUAAAGAAGACAUAAAGGCUAAAUUCCAUGACAAAUCAUGUCAGUGGACUAGUCUAAAUGGAAGUGCAAAACAGUAAGUGUGCACUGAAGUGCAAAACCAACUGAGUUCUACAUGACCGAAUAUAAGCAUAGAUCGCCAGGAAUUCAGCUCCUACAAAGAAAAUUGGAACCAAUGUGUAUUGACCCUUGCCAAAAAGUAGAGACUGUUUUGGCUAUGAAAAUAGUCCUGGUCACAGCUCCCACCAAAAAAUGAAAACUUAAAAAUAAUGAUAAUUUUAAAAGCUGGGAUGUAUUUUUUAGGGCCGAGGAAAGUUUCGCACUGAGUUACUUGAGAUAAUGGGAGAAAACUAAGACAACUGUGCAGCCACCACAGGUAACUCAGGAACUGGAUAGUAUGCCCAGUUAGGAUUAGAGACUUGAGAUGUCUUAUGUAGCAAUAAACUGAGGCUAUCAGUGGCAUGCAAAGUAAACCCAAAGAAAGCAGAAAGGAAAUAAAAAGUACUAAAGGUAAAAUCAGUAAUUUUAAAAAGAAUAUAUAACCCAAUAGAAUCAAAGUUUAGUUCUCCAAA
rnacentral:lncRNA from 10 species